UAUUGUCUCUGAUGAGGACUGCACCCCAGAGCCAAGCACAAACCGGGACAGGACCGGGGUCGAGGCGAAGCAGAGGAAGGAGGGCUGCCGGGGUCCGAGGAAGAAGAGGCAGGACGGAGAGGACGAGGUGCAAGCCAAGGAGCACAUCUUCUAGGAGCUGCGUCGAGCUUCACGCUCCAACAACAGCAUACACUGAAAAAAGGGAAAAAGGGGGGUUGUUCACUUUACAAAUAACAGUUCGCAUACACGACACAACUGAUUUAUGUUCCUUCUCUGAAAAUAUGUCAGUCAUGUAGAAUUAUACUAAUCUUGAUUGAUGUUUAAUUUUUAAGUCUCAGUCAUGUUAAGAGCAAAGGACGUUGUUAUGUUUUGUCUGGAAACUCCGCCCACUGGGAGCAGCUCUUUGAAUGAAAACUUCACCGAGGGCGCCAUUUUUUCGAUUCGGUCGGUUGAAUUCAUCAGUCUGGACAGCUCUUCACACAGUAAAGGAUGAUGACAUUGAUGUUCGGCGGGAAUGCAUACUCAAGGGGCUGUGUGUGUACCUCAAUGAAGACCUGGAAAAAUGAGCGAGAGAAUACACUGCAGAAGACAAAGACCUGAGGAGCCAUUGAGGAGACCAUGGUGAAAAUACGUGAGAUGCCACUGAUGGACCAGAGGACAUUGGGCUUGUCCUGGAAGGCCAGGUGGUACUGCAUGAUCUGGACAACGUUGCCUUAGCUGCUGCCAUGUUGUUUGGACUAAUGUAUGCCUUGAACUACCCUCCUGAACUUAAGUACUCUUUCAAAGUGCUCCAGAAGUUGUGAUGGAGCUGGACGACAACACACUGUCAAAGAAAGCCCAGGGACUCAAAAACAAACUAUAAGUUAGCUUUUGCCAUUUUAGGCAGCCUGCAUACAACAGUACCCUUUCUUCUUGGAAUAUGGACCAUUGCUGCUUUUUUAUUGGAAUGGACUUUUGACACUUA